CGAGGUGUGGGUCACCGGCGAUCCGGCGGGCUUCGCCGGCCCGCCGCUCUACUGGCGCUUCGACGGCGUCACCUGGA
rnacentral:tRNA from 1 species